rnacentral:rRNA from 1 species
UGGGGAAUUUUGGACAAUGGGCGAAAGCCUGAUCCAGCAAUGCCGCGUGUGUGAAGAAGGCCUUCGGGUUGUAAAGCACUUUUGUCCGGAAAGAAAUGGCUCUGGUUAAUACCUGGGGUCGAUGACGGUACCGGAAGAAUAAGGACCGGCUAACUACGUGCCAGCAGCCGCGGUAAUACGUAGGGUCCAAGCGUUAAUCGGAAUUACUGGGCGUAAAGCGUGCGCAGGCGGUUGUGCAAGACCGAUGUGAAAUCCCCGAGCUUAACUUGGGAAUUGCAUUGGUGACUGCACGGCUAGAGUGUGUCAGAGGGGGGUAGAAUUCCAAGUGUAGCAGUGAAAUGCGUAGAGAUGUGGAGGAAUACCGAUGGCGAAGGCAGCCCCCUGGGAUAACACUGACGCUCAUGCACGAAAGCGUGGGGAGCAAACAGG